AGUGAACGCUGGCGGCAGGCCUAACACAUGCAAGUCGAACGGCAGCACAGGAGAGCUUGCUCUCUGGGUGGCGAGUGGCGGACGGGUGAGGAAUGCGUCGGAAUCUGCCUAUUUGUGGGGGAUAACGUAGGGAAACUUACGCUAAUACCGCAUACGACCUACGGGUGAAAGUGGGGGACCUUCGGGCCUCACGCAGAUAGAUGAGCCGACGCCGGAUUAGCUAGUUGGCGGGGUAAAGGCCCACCAAGGCGACGAUCCGUAGCUGGUCUGAGAGGAUGAUCAGCCACACUGGAACUGAGACACGGUCCAGACUCCUACGGGAGGGAGCAGUGGGGAAUAUUGGACAAUGGGCGCAAGCCUGAUCCAGCCAUGCCGCGUGUGUGAAGAAGGCCUUCGGGUUGUAAAGCACUUUUGUCCGGAAAGAAAAGCAUCCGGUUAAUAACCGGGUGUCAUGACGGUACCGGAAGAAUAAGCACCGGCUAACUUCGUGCCAGCCGCCACCGUAAUAC
rnacentral:rRNA from 1 species